AUGCUUCCUUUGGCAGCACAUUUACUAAAAUUGGAACGAUACAGAGAUCAGCAUAGCCCAUGCACAAGGAUGACACAAAAAUUCAUGAAAUGUUCCACAUUUUU